CACCGCGGUUAUACGAGAGACCCAAAUUGACCUAAAACGGCGUAAAGGGUGGUUAAAAACUUUACACUAGAGCCGAACUCGUCCCUGACUGUUAUACGUUACGGAACAAUGAAGUACUAAAACGAAAGUAGCUCUAAAAUUUUGAACCCACGAAAGCUAGGAAA
rnacentral:rRNA from 1 species